CCACCUUCUUUCCAGAGUUCCCCAGCUCUUAUCCAGUAGCUGCUCAACCCUCUUCCUCUAAAAAUAUACAGAAAGAACUGAAUGAAUAGUUACAGUCUUGUCCCAUCGUUGCAACUCCCAUACGGACUCGGAAGAAGUCGAGAGCGGCACAUCCACCGAAACACAACCCAGCAAAGCCACACUGCUUCUUGACACAACGCCCUCUUAACCCAGAAGCCAGCCAGACCAAUGUGUCGGAGGAAACGCCAUACACCUGGCACGACCGUGUCAGCGUGCAUGUGCCUGGCCCGCCACAGGAGUCACUAGAGCGCCAUCGGACAAGGACAUCCCGGCUGGACAAACCCUCCCCUAACUAGAACAACGCUGGGCCAAUUGUGAGCUGCUUCAUGGGUCUCCGGGUCGCCGCCGGCUGCGACAGAGCCUGGACUCGAACCAGGAUCUCUAGUGGCACAGCUAGCUCUGCGAUGCAGUGCCUUAGACCACUGCGCCUCCUGGGAGGCCCUACUAUGUCGAGUUAGACAGGUUAACGUAAAAUAAUACAUUUUGUUGGGUUACACUUAUAGCCGUUUCAUGAUGAUUGUUACGGUUGUGUCAAUCAUGUUAUAUACUUAGGCUAUUGUAACAAGGCAUAUGCCAGCAUUACUGCCUCUGCCCAGAGGACUAUUAAGCUUUCAUGGCAAUGGCCGCUCACUUUGCCACGCAUGAGCCCUGGUUAGAUUCCCUGUUGCAGCUUUCACUUUCUUCUGCUACACUGGUGGCAGUGCUGGGAUCACGUCCAGCUCACAUCUAGUUAUUUGAUCUAGUGGUGGGAAGCGUUCUGUUUUUCAACAUUGUAUUGGGUUUAAUAACCCUUGAAUGAGUAGGUGUGUCCAAACUUUUGACUGGUACUGUAUAUAUUUUUUGUGUGGGCUGUUUUGCAUUUUUUUUAGGAAUUAAUAAGUGUCACAUAUCAGUUUGCAAACAAUGUAAAAAAAUAAGUAAUCAAUGAGUUAAUAAAGUUGCAUACAUACAUGUUU